UUAUUAUAUUAUUUUGGUGGUGGUGGUGGGGAGGAGGAGGAACUGUGGAGAAAUAGCCACGAGUGGUGCAAGCGGUGCGGCGGCCCCGCUAGCAUUGUGGCAUCGGACUUCCUUAUCAGCGGCGUUUUGCAAACAGGCGAGCGGCAGCGAUACGACCGCUGCCCACGGCUGCGUCGGACGCAAUCGGCUGGGUGCACGUGGCGUCGGGGAUCGACCGCAUGAGGCUCUCCCACCCCCACCCCUCUCCAUCCGCCACCACUCCCCAAAUUUCCGUGGUUGUCUGCGUUGCCCCCGUCGCUCGUGAGCACGGGCGUGGCGACGUCAAAUGUGCCGGGGACACACAUUUGACGGCGCGUCGUCUGUAACGGAAGGUCUCGUCCGAAACGGCGGAAAGUUUUCGACGGGGGUCGGUGGGGUCAGGACCUCGACGUUUUUUUGUUUUUUUUUUCCACGUGCGCCGUUGCUGUUGCAUCGUCGACAAGGCGGUGGUUUGGCGGUGGUGGUGGUUGGUGACCCCACCGAAGUGUUUGGGAAGGAUUUGAAUUCGUUCUCGUGGGACUUUUCGGCACGCGCCGCGUUCACUUGUAGGCCGCCUCCCGUCUCAUCGUCGUCGCUCUCAUGGCAGUCAACACCACAGAGGCAUUUGGGAUUGCCAUUACGAAGCUUGGACACGUAUUCUCUCAACUGCCUCCUCGCGAGGGAAACCAAGACAUUUUCAAAAACAAAGGGCACGAAAUCGCCGUGAUCGUCGCCAUCAUCAGCGGCGCCGUCAUCCUCCUCCUCGGCCUGUGUUUCAUCGUCUGCUGCCUGAGCAGGUGCUUGAGCAACACGUCAGCGCAGCGGAGAGACGCGCACUCAAGGAGCGUUGACCGGACAAGCCAUGUUGUGAACGUGUUCGAUGAGGAAAUAUCUUUCACGAGCACCUCUGGAAGUCAAUGGAAGAACAGUGCCACUGUGGACAGAAGCCCAAUGUAUUUCUGAACUACAGAGCCUACAGACAGGAAGCCAGAAGCCCCGUUUUGAGGUGACUGCUACUCCUACUGCGGCGUGUGAAGCGUUAGCCGAAGCCAUGCCAUCAGAUGCAACGCGUGGUGUUUAGAUCUUAUAUUUGCCAUAUUAUCCAACGUUGUCUCAGAUGAGGUGGCGGGGGGGGGGGUGCGCACACUGUGGCUGCUGCGAGUUUCCGCCGGGCAGUCUUUCUCAUUUACGAUCAGCAGAGGGCACUAUGGGCGAGGUCGUGACGACUGACUGGCUGCAACGUUGCAUCUACCAUAUUGGCCUGGCCGUCCAAUUUGAGCAGUAUUACUAUGGUGGUGGUGGUAGCAUUGAGGAUGGAAGUGUUUACUAUUUAUGAAAGCAUACAAAAAAUCAUAAACACAGUAGAAUAUUUUACUUGAUAACCCAACACAUCAAUGCACUUGUCAUGUUGAUGAUAUUUACAGAACAAUAAAUAUCAGCGUCAGAGUAACUCACGCAGUGAACAUUUUUUUCAGAUAUUUUUUUUUAUAUUUUCAAAAUCGGACUAAUUAAUACGUCACGGAGUAAAACCGAAUAUCAGUGUGCUUGUAUAAUUGUUAAUUGAUGAUAUAGGUUUGGGGAAAAGCUUGAGCUAAGUUUGAGUGCCAGCCCCAGCUAACGUCAGUGGCGAGUGAUAUCUGAAGUAGUCCUGGACACACUUCCCUUUAGCAACCUGAACUGACCAGUGUGGUGAAGUAUAGUCAAAUCAACCGCACCAUCUCCCUUGACUGGCAGAAUGUCGGCAACAAAGAUCUCCAUUUUCAUCAUGUUUUAUUAUCUCCAUUGUGCCUGAGGGCUUCGAAAUAAAUACGCUUUAUUUGAGUACAGUACAGCAUGUUGCUGUACGGAAUACAGUACCAUAAUUUGGGAACCUGAAGAAAAACAAACUAGGCUAGCAGAAGGCUCUGACUCAAACAAUACAAGAACGGGUAUUACUUUGGUUUGGACAUGUAAAUGGAAUGGAGACCAGAAAAUAACCCUGACCCUAACCACGUCACCAUUGGCCUCGGCCGACCAUGUGCAAGGAGCGGCGAGUAGAGACAACCCUCACAAAAGGUGGAUUGACAGAGGAUUUAAAAGAGACGCGGGCUGAGAGGAAAUGAUCGCCAUGACCAGGGAAAGGAAGCAGUGAAAGAAGGCCAAGGAACAUCGUCAUCAGCUGCCAAUGCCGGGCAGAAGAGAACAAUUAAGAUCUUGCCGUCCAUGGCUUUUUGUUGACAUGUUAUAUAUAAAGGAGGCUAAACGUUAAGGCCAUGUGUUGUGAAAAAGAGCCAGCAAAUGGCUCAUGAUUUUUGUUAAACGGAAUGCUUACACCGUUUGCAGAUAUGUUUGUAAUUCGCAGCGUUAACGUGGAUGUGACCAUACACAAACGUUCAUCCUGGUUAAUUUAUUGUGCUUGUGAACAAAAAAAAAAACUGAAUCCCCGUCUUUCAGCGUGAGACGCUUUGAAAGAGACAACUUCAAAGUUAAUAAGCAGGAGGGGGGAAACGCCGCAUUCCUGGGCGAAUUUAAAUGUGGCUUAGCGUUUUGAUGUCAGAGCAGUUCCAUUUCACAACUACAUCUCAGAAUAAUAAUUCAAAAUAUAAUUGCAAAAAAGAUGUGUAAUUUAAAAGCUUCAAUUGCACGUCAUGAAUAACAUAGCAAACCGCACAAUGCAGGGUUUUCUAAACUCCAGUCCUCACGACCUCCCACCACGCUCCGUCUUUCACCGUUCACCAAUUUACUCCUCCCCGUUCAAACUACUAAUUAAAUCAUUCCACCCUGAACGCGCCCGAUGAUUAUUUAACACGUGACUCGCUAAAGCAAUUAACGCCCUCUGCGUCAAGCGCGCACACACGCGCACAGAGAUCUCAGUCUUAUUUUGAAUCGGCCAUGAAACGCAGACUUCAUUUACUGCUUAGCGCGUCACGUGGUAUGUGUUUAACAAUCAUCGGGUGCGUGCAGCGUGGAACGAGUUAAUUUUUAUUUGAAUGGGGAGGAGUGAAUUGGUGGACGCCGACAGACGUGGCGUGGUGGUCGUGGGUAGCAAAGAUUGGAGUUUGGACAACCCUGGCCAAAUGGGUCACAUCCCCAUAUAUGUCGUGAACAUUUUCGCCCAAAUUGCGUCGAAAUGCACGCCGAUGCCUCUUGGUCGACAGCGAUGCGGCAAGCUGCCACGGCGAUAUAUUUCUGCCGGCAUGUAAAUCUGACCCAUAUCAGUCAUCCCAAUGAUAUUGUACGUGUAAUGUAUGUGUCAGUGCAUUUACGUUCAUAGCUGUUACGCUUUCACCACACGAUACGAUACAAUGUACAUGUGUGGUCCAGAUGUCUCGUGAUCCCCAUUUUACUUUAUGAAAACGUUAUUUUUUAUUUUUAAUAUAUAUUCCAAUGGGUGUAAAAUCAGAAAUAAGGGGAAGCAAAUGUUGGGGGUCAAUUAGUUGGGGGUCAAAAGACAUGUGGACCACCCUCUGUACAAUGUCGAGGCCUGUGACGAGAUCAUUCGUGAUGCGCCAGGUCUCAUCUUGGUUUCCAAGGAGCGGUUGAGCCCGGAUCGUUGCUCAGAUGGUCGAGCCAGCAUGUGGACUGAUGCAGGUUUUAAAGGCUCUCAAAGGACUCCGCCGUGCGUGGUGGACAGCAGAGGGCAGUGCAGAAAACUGCAUUCACCCGGUCUGAUAAAGGAGACGGCCAAUUAACCGAUGAACCACAUUGGUAUGGUGAGGGCGCCACAUUGGCAUUGGGAGAGCCCCACAUCCAGCAGUGGAUGACAAAAGACCCGUUCGUGUACAUUACUACCGUAGAGCACAAUAACACUGUGAGUAAUACAUAUACAGCGAAUGUAGACAAUUUUCUUUGGAAAUUACUCAAAUCGGUUGUGUUAUUAUUGCGUGGUUCAGCUUUUUUGCUUUUGAUAACAUUCUACAGUUGAGUGAUUUUUCGUUUAAACGUUUGUACGGAGUGGCGAUUUGCAUGUUUCAGCCUUGUUUAUUGCUUGCUCAGUAACGAAUAGGCGUUGUCCUUUUCAAGAAAUGAAAAUAACACUUGGCAGUGCAGAGUGGGCAUAAUUGUAUGCAUCCGUUCCUGUUGUAACACCCACCAUUCAUUACACUGAAGACUUUUUUUUCAUUUAACCGUGCGUUGGGAGACAUUUUUUGUUUGUUUUCACAGCAGUACGAUCUCGAGUCAGGACUGCGUCCAUCGUGUACCUGUGAAUGUUGGCUAGAGCGAGCCGUUGUAGCUCGGAAGUUCACUGUUCUUGCUGUGGGCCUAUAAUGUUGAUGAAUAAGAGAGCAAGACUUUUUUUAUUCAAUAAAUGAAUAAAAACUCGAAGAGA